AUUGAACGCUGGCGGCAUGCUUUACACAUGCAAGUCGAGCGGCAGCGCGGGGGCAACCCUGGCGGCGAGCGGCGAACGGGUGAGUAAUGCAUCGGAACGUAUCCUCGAGUGGGGGGUAACCCAGCGAAAGUUGGGCUAAUACCGCAUGAGCUCUGAGGAGGAAAGCGGGGGACCUGCGAGGGCCUCGCGCUGGAGGAGCGGCCGAUGUCCGAUUAGCUAGUUGGUGGGGUAAAGGCUUACCAAGGCGACGAUCGGUAGCUGGUCUGAGAGGAUGAUCAGCCACACUGGGACUGAGACACGGCCCAGACUCCUACGGGAGGCAGCAGUGGGGAAUUUUGGACAAUGGGGGCAACCCUGAUCCAGCCAUGCCGCGUGAGUGAAGAAGGCCUUCGGGUUGUAAAGCUCUUUCGGACGGAACGAAAUGGGCGGGACUAAUACUCCUGUCUGAUGACGGUACCGUAAGAAGAAGCACCGGCUAACUACGUG
rnacentral:rRNA from 1 species